rnacentral:sRNA from 1 species
AGAACAAACCUACACGAGCAAGGAGGUUAAUGGGGCUGUUUCUGGGUCCAAGCUCCAAGAGGAAGGAGGGUGAUGAUGGUGGGGGGAAUUCAAAUUCGGUGUUCUACUCUCAACCUCUCCCAGCUUCAGGUUCUGCUUUCUCUCUGUUGACAUCAGCUGGACCUCUGCCAGACACUUCUAUCUGGGAGGGACGCUCUGCGUCUCCUUACCCUGGGCCUAGCUUCCCCCAGGAAAUGGGAAGCUAGAAGUCGCUGAGUCUGGGGGUGUUGGGUGAAGGGGGCGGUGAUUUCCACAGGGGUCACCUCCUUCUUAACCUCACAGGCGUCCGACCUGUGGAAAUCUAACAAGCAUAGGGGAAAGCAAAGGCAGCAUCUUAGGAGAGACCCGGGCCACGGAGACAGAGACCCCGGCAUCGCGACCCCCGAGGACCUCCUCUCCUCGCCCUGUGGCACCCACUAGUCCUGGGCACUCAGCCGCGGAGAGCCCCCGACCCCGCGCGCCCAGCCCCGGGGGAGCCCACCUCCGCCCCGCGGCCCGCCCGGGCCAUGCUCCCCCGGGGCA